rnacentral:rRNA from 1 species
GACGUAACGCCUGGGCGGCGCGCCUAACACAUGCAAGUCGAACGAGCGAGGAGAGAGACGUUGCUUUCUCAAGCGAGUGGCGAACGGGUGAGUAACGCGUGAGGAACCUGCCUCAAAGAGGGGGAUAACAGUUAGAAAUGACUGCUAAUACCGCAUAAGCGCACAGUGCUGCAUGGCACAGUGUGAAAAACUCCGGUGGUAUGAGAUGGACCCGCGUCUGAUUAGCUAGUUGGUGGGGUAACGGCCUACCAAGGCGACGAUCAGUAGCCGGCCUGAGAGGGUGAACGGCCACAUUGGGACUGAGACACGGCCCAA